GAUGAACGCUGGCGGCGUGCCUAAUACAUGCAAGUCGAGCGAACAGACGAGGAGCUUGCUCCUCUGACGUUAGCGGCGGACGGGUGAGUAACACGUGGAUAACCUACCUAUAAGACUGGGAUAACUUCGGGAAACCGGAGCUAAUACCGGAUAAUAUAUUGAACCGCAUGGUUCACUAGUGAAAGACGGUUUUGCUGUCACUUAUAGAUGGAUCCGCGCCGCAUUAGCUAGUUGGUAAGGUAACGGCUUACCAAGGCAACAAUGCGUAGCCGACCUGAGAGGUGGAUCGGCCACACGGGAACUGAGAAACGGUCCAGACUCCUACGGGAGGCAGCAGUAGGGAAUCUUCCGAAAUGGGCGAAAGCCUGACGGAGCAACGCCGCGUGAGUGAUGAAGGUCUUCGGAUCGUAAAACUCUGUUAUUAGGGAAGAACAAAUGUGUAAGUAACUAUGCACGUCUUGACGGUACCUAAUCAGAAAGCCACGGCUAACUACGUG
rnacentral:rRNA from 1 species